rnacentral:rRNA from 1 species
CCCUUAGAUGUCCUGGGCCGCACGCGCGCUACACUGAGUGUCUGAGAUACGAGUCUGCCUGGUCCGGCAAGGUCUAGGUAAUCGCUAAAAGACACAUCAUGCUUGGGAUAGAUUAUUGCAAAUAUUAAUCUUGAACGAGGAAUUCCUAGUAAGCGCAAGUCAACAGCUUGCGUUGAUUACGUCCCUGCCCUUUGUACACACCGCCCGUCGCUACUACUGAUUGGAUGUUUAAGCGAGGUUCUCGAACUGCUAGCGACUUAGCUACGGUGAGGUCGCAGUGUGGGAAGUGAACCUAGCUUUGGUGUCUAGAGGAAGUAAAAGUCGUAACA